UACAGAGGUCUCAAGCGUUGUUCGGAUUCAUUGGGCGUAAAGGGUGCGUAGGUGGCGCCGUAAGUCAGGUGUGAAAUUUCGGAGCUCAACUCCGAAACUGCAUUUGAUACUGCGGUGCUUGAGGACUGGAGAGGAGACUGGAAUUCACGGUGUAGCAGUGAAAUGCGUAGAUAUCGUGAGGAAGACCAGUGGCGAAGGCGGGUCUCUGGACAGUUCCUGACACUGAGGCACGAAGGCCAGGGGGAGCAAACGGG
rnacentral:rRNA from 1 species